UGCAUUUAAAGGCACAUGUACAGCACAGCAGAUUAUAUAUUAAUAUAACUUUUUCAGUUAUUUUCAAAGCUAUGUUUCUUUUUUUUUAAAUUUUUUUUAACAUUCAUUUUUGAGAGUGAGAGAGACAGCAUGAACAGGGGAGGGGCAGAGAGAGAGAGGGAGACACAGAAUCCAAAGCAGGCUCCAGGCUCUGAGCUGUCAGCACAGAGCCCGAUGCGGGGCUCGUACUCACGGACUGCGAGAUCAUGACCUGAGCCGAAGUCAGAUGCUCAACCUACUGAGCCACCCAGGUGUCCUUCAAAGUCAGAUUUCACAGUGUCAGAGAAGACUCUUGAACACCACCGAUGGAGACGUUGGUUGUUCAUGGGACACCCGUGAGCUCCCCUCGAUUUCUCAGCCCUCUUACAGUAGGAGGGACCGUGAUGCUGGCCUGGCCAAUUGGAUAUGGACACUUAAGGGCCACGCAUGACCCUCCCGUGGGUGUUCACCCCUGCAGCAGCUGCGGGGGACUGUGGAGAUGUCCCGUCCCAGACGGUACAGCCUCGAUUUAUCUGUGUCCCUGAAUACUUGGUAGAGUAGAGCCUAUUGCUAACCUGUCGUAGACAGAUAUUGUGAAUAAGAAAUAAACUGUCAUGCUAAGCCACUGAGUUUCAGGGGUCAAUUUGUUACCACAACAUACUUUAUACUAUUUGUGACUACAACAUGGUAUUUGUUACCACAACAUAGCUUAUACUGUUGAAAACUUUUUUUGUUUUGUAUUGAGAGCUUUGUAUUUUUUAAGAUGAUGAACAUAAAGUAUUAUUUGGCAGAAAUGUCUUCAUUAGAAUCCCGAGUUUGUGGAAAGGAUGUAGCAACACGUAUGAAGAGUAGUACAGGAGAGUCAUCUGGCCAGAUGUAAUCUUCCUCAAACUGAACUGAGGACCUUAAGGAGAUUCAUGCAGAGAUGUGAAACAUAGGAUUCCUCUUUCUGUUAAGAGCUGUUCCAGGCGUUACUGACUCCACCUCCUACUUGUGCCUGCCCCAACCCUGGAAAUUACUUUUAUUCCCUUCUACAAGGACUUUCAGCGUAAGAGAUUUAUGUAAACCUGGAUGCAUGGGAAGGAACCGAAGACAAAACUCACAGUCAUUUUAAGUUGAAAAUGUCCAGGUAAACAAUAUUAAAUGAUAAUUGGGCACUUAGAUUUCUGCAGCUCCCUGCGGCCGUCCCAACAGCAUCCUAUUUGAAGAUUCUGCAGAUGGCACUGGUCUAAGGUUCAUUGGAAGUGACUGACUGAACCGUGAAUGUGGUUGGAACACAGCAUUUGUGGAUCAAGAAAACAGCUAGCAAGGACUUUGAUUCUCCCCUUCUAUGUGACAACUUAAUUUUUUUUAUUACGUUUUAAAACGGUAUGAAUUGUAAGUUGCAUAUUUUUGUUUGGAAAAUACAGAUUCAAAUAUUUUUUUAAUGUUUUCUUUUCUUUUCUUUUCUUUUCUUUUCUUUCUUUUUUUUGGAGAGAGACAGAGUGCAAGUGGAGGAGGGGCAGAGAGAGAGGGAGACACAGAAUCCGAAGCAGGCCCCAAGCUCUGAGCUGUCAGCACAGAGCCCAACGCUGGUCUCGAACCUAUGAGCAGUGAGAUCAUGACCUGAACUGAAAUUGGAGGCUUAACUGACGGAGCCACCCAGGCGCCCCUGGAAAAUACAAAUUUUAGUUCAAACAUGACCUAUUUUUCUGAAUUGGAAUACAAACUUUAAAUUGACACUGUCUUUCUUUUUUGUUGUUUUAAACACUAAUGAAUGAAUCAAGAAAAUAAUGCUUAUUACAUGAUUAUUACCCAUUAUUACAUGGUUAUAGUCUUGUGUAGUGAAAGGGGUGUUAAGUGACAUGCUCUAGGGAGCAGAUAUGCUAGAUUGUUGGUUGAGAAGUUUGGGGGAGGAGGAAGAGAGUGAGCCUGAGGAGAAUGGCGGGUUAGAUUGAAGGACUGAUACACUGGAGAGCAAUGGAGUGUUGCUGGGGAUGUAGGGUCUGUGGGUCCAUCACUGUCUGUAGCUGAAGUAGGAGGCAUCCGGGGAAGUGUUUGUGGGGGGUUAACAACCUGCAGGCCACAGGGGCUGACAAGCAGUUUCCGUGGGUUCGUGGGUACAGAGCUCAGCUAGAGUGGUUCUAAAAGGGAUGCAGUGGAAGAACGGGGGGGUCCCCUGUUCCUGACCUACAGUAGGCUCAAGUACAGGAAGUCAAGUGCAAAACACUGCAAGUCAAUAAACAGAGCUUGAUAAAAGAAUAACAAAAUACACAAAGUAGAAGGAAAGAAAUAAGAGGAAAAAUUACACGAGGAGAGUAGAAAAAAAAUGAGGUUAAUCCAAACACCCAAGUCUAUGUUCUUUGAAAUGAUCGAUGAAGAUAUGAAACAAAUGAGCAGGAAGCAUGUUUGAAAAGGGACACAGAGGUAUAGAUACAAGAAUUUUAACAUUUUUAGGUUUAUUGAUUUAUUUUGAGAGAGAGAGAGAGAGAGAGAGAGAGAGAGAGAGAGAGAGAGAGAGAGGGAGAGAGACAGGCAGGCUCCAUGCUGUCAGCACCCAGCUGGAUGUGGGGCUUGAUCUCAUGCACAUGACCAGAGCUGAAACCAAGAGUCAGGUGCUUAACCACCUGAGCCACCCAGGCACCCCGAUUCAGGAACUUUUUUAAAUCUGAAAGAAUAUACAUUGUUAGAUAUGAUCAUUUGGUCCCAUUUCUACAGGUUCGCGAUCUACAGGGAAAAUCUUGCUGUCUGGAUCAGAAAACUUAGGAGCCCCGCCUUGGAGAGGCAGCAAGUCAUGGUGGUAAAAAGCGUAGGCUCUGGAGCACAGUGUGUGGACAUACACCUCAGACUGGCUCCUUCCCUCAGAACCAUAAAAGCAAAUAACACAAAUGUGUUUGAAUUACUUCAACUAAUAUGGUAAGGUCCCCACUCGAAUAGGAACAUUAACACAAACACUUACACAAGUCCUGUUACGAAUAUAUACUGAUGUUAAAUCAAUCCCAGAUUUUCAUCUGGCGUUUACUUAAUGCUAGCAUUAUCCAAAUGCUGUCUUUGACGUCCGUAGAUUUUCAUGGCUAGAGGAUUUGAUGGGUUUUCUUAGGAUAGGAAAUAUCUUCAAAGAAUUUACCAGAGCAAGGCAACAUCGAAGUAGACGCGUUUCUGUCUGAGCAGUCUAUCCUUAGCAUUCCAUCAGUGUGAUCGCAUCAGUGUGAUCAGCGGCAAAGCCAAAGAAGAAAAGGCCCAGCCCAGAUUCUAGAAGGGGGUGCAGCUGCUGAUGUUAGUCUGGUCUACCCAGUUCACCAACGCCUCUGAUCAAAGGAGUUAAAAUUCUGUGCCAACAGUUUAUGUUGAAAACAAACAAAAACAGCCCCCGAUGUUGGGAACUGAUCUGAAGUUCGCAGUUAGACCCCAGUGUUGCCACAAGCUAGUCUGACGUCCAAGUCUAGAUUGUUGUGUUCUCCCCUGGACGUGAACUAUCACAGAGUAUCAACAAGGUCACUGUGUGACACAAAGCACCAAACACUGCUCUCACUCACUCAAGGGGUGCUGAUGACUCUGCUAUUUAUAGCUUUUAUUUAAUUUGAUUUAAUUUAAUUUAAUUUAAUUUUUUUUAUCAUCCCUAUUGAUAAGAUUUGUGGGGACACCCAACUGUAGAAUCACCCCAGCUCUGUGACACCAUCCAGUUGAGGGCAAACCUUGCUUCCUUGGAUGUUCCACCAAAUGCCCCAACCAAAGCCUCAAUCCUAGAGAGCAUGAGUCUGCGAGGGCAAAGAGAGACAAUGCCAAGCAGGCUCCUCGCUGUCAGAACAGAGCCCAGCAUGGGGCUCGAACCGAUGAGCCAUGAGAUCGUGACCUGAGCUGAAGUGGGACGCUUAACCAACUGAGCCACCCAGGUG